AGGACGAACGCUGGCGGCGUGCUUAACACAUGCAAGUCGAACGGUAAGGCCCCUUCGGGGGUACACGAGUGGCGAACGGGUGAGUAACACGUGAGCAACCUGCCCUUGACUCUGGAAUAACAGCUGGAAACAGCUGCUAAUACUGGAUAUGACCUCCGGCGACAUCGCCUGGAGGUGGAAAGCUCCGGCGGUCAAGGAUGGGCUCGCGGCCUAUCAGCUUGUUGGUGAGGUAAUGGCUCACCAAGGCUUCGACGGGUA
rnacentral:rRNA from 1 species